UACGUAGGGGGCUAGCGUUGUCCGGAUUUAUUGGGCGUAAAGAGCGUGUAGGCGGCCAGGUAGGUCUGGUGUGAAAACUCGAGGCUUAACCUCGAGAUGUCAUCGGAAACCAUCUGGCUAGAGUCCGGAAGAGGAGAGUGGAAUUCCUGGUGUAGCGGUGAAAUGCGCAGAUAUCAGGAAGAACACCGGUGGCGAAGGCGGAUCUCUGGGCCUUGCCUGACGCUGAGGCGCGAAAGCUAGGGGAGCGAACAGG
rnacentral:rRNA from 1 species